CCGACGCAGAUUGGGGGGUCCUGGCCUCGACUGGGGGGGUCCCCGUGGGUGCAGCCCCUCAGGGCAGUGCAGGACUUUGGGGUCCCCGUGUGUGAGCCCUUAGAGGGGAGUGCAGGAUUUUGGGGUCCCAUUGGGUGCAGCCCCUGUAGGGCAGUGCAGGAUUUUGGGGUCCCCUUGGGUGCAGUUCUUGGAGGGGAGUGCAGGAUUUUGGGGAUUACCUUGGGUGCAAGGCAGUGCAGAAUUUUGGGGUCCCCUUGGGUGCAGCCGCUGCAGGGCAGGGCAGGAUUUUGGGGUCCCCUUGGGUGCAGCGGAGUGCAGGAUUUUGGGGUCCCCACGGGUGCAGCCCCUUGAGGGCGGUGCAGGAUUUUGGGGUCCCCUUGAGUGAAGGGCAGUGCAGAAUUUUGGGAUCCCUGCCCUUAGAGGGGAGUGCAGGAUUUUGGGGGGUCCCUUUGAGUGCAGCCCCUGCAGGGCAGUGCAGGAUUUUGGGGGGUCCCUGGGGGGUGCAGCCCCUAGAAGGGAGUGCAGAAUUUUGGGGGGUUCCCUUGGGUGCAGAGCAGUGCAGGAUUUUGGGGUCCCCUUGAUCGCAGCCCUUAGAAGGGAGUGCAAGAUUUUGGGGUCCCCGUGGGUGCAGCCCCUUGAGGGCAGUGCAGGAUUUUGGGGUCCCCGUGGGUGCAGCCCCUUGAGGGCGGUGCAGGAUUUUGGGGUCCCCUUGGGUGCAGCCUCUGUAGGGGAGUGCAAGUUUUGGGGUCCCCUUGGGUGCAGCCUUUGGGGUUGCUCUGUAGAACUCGGGGCCCCCCGGGGGUGUCACCUCUCAGGGGUUUUUGGGGUGCCCCCGAAGUGUUCCCUUUGAGGGGGGGGUGUUGCUGGGUUUUGGGGUUCAUUUGCCUGAGCUAGCAGGGUUUGGAGGUCCCCAAAUUAAUCACUGCAGGAGAGGGUCCUCAAGAGGUUUGGGGGGGCUUUGGUACCCCCAGAAAUCGGGGAGGUGUUGGGGUGCCCCAAGGAGCCCCUGGCUUGGGGGUGACUCUGAGGAACCCCAUUUUUGGGGUGACACUGAAGACUCCGUUUUGGGGUGACCCUGAGCCCCAUCAGUUUGGAGGUGACCCCAAGACCCGCUGGUUUUGGGGGUGACCCCUGAUUUUGGGGGUGACCCCUGCAACCCCCACAUUUGGGAGUGCCCCAAACCCCGCUUUUGCCGUAUCCCCGAGACACCCCCAUUUCUGAGUACCCCCUGCCUCACCCCCGUUUUUGGGGUGACCCUGAGGACCCCCCGUUUUUGGGGGUGACCCGGUGGCCGUUUCGGGGUGCCGGGGCCAUGGCGUGGGCGCUGAAGCUGCCGCUGGCGGACGAGGUGAUCGAGUCGGGGCUGGUGCAGGAUUUCGACGCCAGCCUCUCGGGCAUCGGGCAGGAGCUGGGUGCUGGCGCCUACAGCAUGAGCGAUGUCCUGGCCCUGCCCAUCUUCAAGCAGGAGGAGUCCAGCCUGCCCCCCGAGAGCCAGGACAAGCUGCUGCCCUUCCAGUACGUGCUGUGCGCUGCCACCUCGCCCGCUGUCAAGCUGCACGAUGAGACCCUCACCUACCUCAACCAAGGUCAAUCCUAUGAGAUCCGGAUGUUGGACAACAGGAAACUCGGGGAGCUGCCCGAGAUCAACGGGAAGCUGGUCAAGAGCAUCUUCCGGGUGGUUUUCCACGACCGGCGGCUGCAGUACACGGAGCACCAGCAGCUGGAGGGCUGGAGGUGGAACAGACCUGGCGACAGGAUCCUGGACAUAGAUAUCCCGAUGUCCGUGGGCAUCAUCGACCCCCGCGCGAACCCGACCCAGCUCAACACCGUGGAGUUCCUGUGGGACCCCUCCAAGAGGACCUCGGUCUUCAUCCAGGUGCACUGCAUCAGCACGGAGUUCACGCUGCGCAAGCACGGCGGUGAGAAGGGCGUUCCCUUCCGCGUGCAGAUCGACACCUUCCGCGAGAACGAGAGCGGCGAGUACACCGAGCACCUGCACUCCGCCAGCUGCCAGAUCAAGGUGUUCAAGCCCAAAGGAGCGGACCGGAAGCAGAAGACGGACCGGGAGAAGAUGGAGAAGCGAACGCCGCACGAGAAGGAGAAGUACCAGCCCUCAUACGAGACCACCAUCCUGACCGAGUGCUCGCCCUGGCCCGAGGUCACCUACGUGCCCAACGCGCCCUCGCCCGGCUUCAACAGCUCCCACAGCAGCUUCUCCAUCGGGGACGGCAGCGGGUCCCCGAGCCACCAGCCCGACCCCCCCGCGCCCCUGGCUGACACGCUGCUGCCCACCUGGAGCCCGCAGGAGGCUCAGCAGUGGCUGCACCGCAACCGCUUCUCCACCUUCUCACGGCUCUUCAGGAACUUCUCAGGGGCAGAUCUGCUGAAGCUGACACGGGAGGAUGUGAUCCAGAUCUGCGGCCCCGCUGACGGCAUCCGGCUCUUCAACGCCCUCAAGGGCAGGAUGGUGCGGCCCCGCCUGACCAUCUACGUGUGCCAGGAGUCGCAGCAGGUGAGGGAGCCCCAGCACGAGCACGAGGACGGCGACGGAGGCAGCGGCACCUUCUUUGUGUACCACGCCGUGUACCUGGAGGAGCUGACGGCGGCCGAGCUGGCAGAGAAGCUGGCACAGCUGUUCCGGGUGCCCGCCCAGCACAUCCAGCACAUCUACAAACAGGGCCCCACGGGCAUCCACGUGCUGGUCAGCGACCAGAUGAUCCAGAACUUCCAGGAUGAAUCCUGCUUCGUCCUGGACACCCUGAAAGCCGAGACCAACGACAGCUACCACAUCAUCCUGAAAUAGGGGCAGCUGAGGGACAGGUGAGGAGCACCUGCGGCCUCUCAGCACACCUGGACACCCUCCACGAGGACACAGCAGAGAUUUGGGAACCCCAGGUGUGCUCACCUGGCCAUCCCCCCUCGCAAUGAACUCCUGGACACCUUCUGGAGAGCUCCCAGGUGUGGUCAUCUGGCCCACCACCCUCCAAAGGAACACCUGGAGAGCCCCCAGGUGUGGUCACCUGGCCACCCCUCCCUCAAAAAGAACACCUGGAAAGCCUCUGGACACCCCCCCAGGUGUGCUUACCUGGCCACCAUCCCCGAAAGGAACACCUGGAGAGCCCCCAGGUGUGGUCAUCUGGCCACCACCCUCAAAAGGAACACCUGGAGAGCCCCCAGGUGUGCUCACCUGACCACCCCUCCCUCAAAAAGAACACCUGGAAAGCCUCUGGACACCCCCCCAGGUGUGGUCACCUGUCCACCCCCCCUCGCAAUGAAUGCCUGGAGAGCCCCCAGGUGUGGUCACCUGGCCACUCCCCUCACAGGGAACACCUGGAAACCGUUUGGGGACCCCCCCCCCCAGAUGUUGUUACCUUGCCACUCUCCUCGAAAAGAACACCUGAAAACCUUCUGGAGAAACCCCAGGUGUGGUGACCUGGCCACGCCCCUCACAGGGAACACCUGGAGAGCCCCCAGGUGUGGUGACCUGGCAGCCCUGCCCACAGGUGCCUCCUGGCACGGACAAGCUGCUGCUCCCCUGCUGCAGCUCUGGGGCACCAGGUGUGCUCCCACCUGGCACAGGUGUUGCCUCCAGGAGAUAUCUCCUCGAGGGACGAUUGGUUGUGACAGACAUAAAGAAAACUGCCCCAUGAACAGAAGAUAACUGCCCCACCUCUGACAGAUGGGAAUUGAGCACCUGAGACACUUCUGUGAGCACCAGCCGAGGUCUCAGUCCCUCCAGCCCUCUCUGUGCCAUCCAGGUGACACCACAGUUGACACCACAGGCGACACCACAGGUAACACCACAGGUGACACCACAGGUGACCUCUGUCUGAGGUGACUCUGGGGUGUCCCCUCUCUCUGGAGCUGCUCCCAACAGCAGAGACUGGCCCAUGCUGGAGGGACAGGGGACAUUUCCUAAUCUGGGUGAGACUUUUGACUCUGCCCAAGGUCUUGGAGUGUCCUCCACAGCCGAGGUCAGUGGGGAGGAACAAGGAUGGUCCCCGUGGUGCCAGGGCUGGGGACUCACCUGAGGCAGUGUCUGCUCUGCUGCCUCCAUUGGCACCACUGACAGGGAGCUGGGGCAGGGUGACAGAGCUCUGGAAACUUCCAGAACCUGGGCUCCACCCACGGAACUGCUCCAGAGAAGCUUCCAGAGCCUGGAUCCUGGGCUCCAUCCUGGGAACUGCUCCAGAGAACCUUCCAGAGCCUGGAUCCUGGGCUCCAAACAAAGAGAUGCUCCAGAGAAGCUUCCAGAGCCUGGAUCCUGGGCUCCAUCCUGGGAACUGCUCCAGAGAACCUUCCAGAGCCUGGAUCCUAAGAUCCACCCUGGGAACUGCUUGAGAGAGAAACUUCCAGAUCCUGGGUUCCACCCAGACCCACAGGAAUUGAUGCAGAGAACCUUCCAGAGCCUGGAUCUUGGGCUUGGGAGGGCCCUACUUCCUCCUCAUCCCUCACUGAGUGACCCACUCUGCUCUUGGAUUUCUUCUUGUGAAAAAUGUGUCUUUUAUGAUUGGCUUUUUGCAAAUAUUAAAAUGAAUAUUAUAUGUGUUGUGUUAGAAAGUGAUGCUGUAAUCAUUUU